UCUGGCCCUAGAGGCUUUGCAGGUGUGGUUGCUAUGUCACAUGUGCAUCAGUAGGUGGCAGAGAGGAGAGGCUAUGUCUACAUUUCAGUGUUCUGACCUGUGAACAAGCCUGAGAUGACCCUUUAGGCAGGCCCA
ensembl:snoRNA Gm25375 small nucleolar RNA SNORA17